rnacentral:rRNA from 1 species
CGGGACACGUGGUAUCCUGUCUGAAUAUGGGGGGACCAUCCUCCAAGGCUAAAUACUCCUGACUGACCGAUAGUGAACCAGUACCGUGAGGGAAAGGCGAAAAGAACCCCGGCGAGGGGAGUGAAAAAGAACCUGAAACCGUGUACGUACAAGCAGUGGGAGCCUCUUAAUGGGGUGACUGCGUACCUUUUGUAUAAUGGGUCAGCGACUUAUAUUCUGUAGCAAGGUUAACCGAAUAGGGGAGCCGAAGGGAAACCGAGUCUUAACUGGGCGUUAAGUUGCAGGGUAUAGACCCGAAACCCGGUGAUCUAGCCAUGGGCAGGUUGAAGGUUGGGUAACACUAACUGGAGGACCGAACCGACUAAUGUUGAAAAAUUAGCGGAUGACUUGUGGCUGGGGGUGAAAGGCCAAUCAAACCGGGAGAUAGCUGGUUCUCCCCGAAAGCUAUUUAGGUAGCGCCUCGUGAAUUCAUCUCCGGGGGUAGAGCACUGUUUCGGCAAGGGGGUCAUCCCGACUUACCAACCCGAUGCAAACUGCGAAUACCGGAGAAUGUUAUCACGGGAGACACACGGCGGGUGCUAACGUCCGUCGUGAAGAGGGAAACAACCCAGACCGCCAGCUAAGGUCCCAAAGUCAUGGUUAAGUGGGAAACGAUGUGGGAAGGCCCAGACAGCCAGGAUGUUGGCUUAGAAGCAGCCAUCAUUUAAAGAAAGCGUAAUAGCUCACUGGUCGAGUCGGCCUGCGCGGAAGAUGUAACGGGGCUAAACCAUGCACCGAAGCUGCGGCAGCGACACUAUGUGUUGUUGGGUAGGGGAGCGUUCUGUAAGCCUGUGAAGGUGUGCUGUGAGGCAUGCUGGAGGUAUCAGAAGUGCGAAUGCUGACAUAAGUAACGAUAAAGCGGGUGAAAAGCCCGCUCGCCGGAAGACCAAGGGUUCCUGUCCAACGUUAAUCGGGGCAGGGUGAGUCGACCCCUAAGGCGAGGCCGAAAGGCGUAGUCGAUGGGAAACAGGUUAAUAUUCCUGUACUUGGUGUUACUGCGAAGGGGGGACGGAGAAGGCUAUGUUGGCCGGGCGACGGUUGUCCCGGUUUAAGCGUGUAGGCUGGUUUUCCAGGCAAAUCCGGAAAACCAAGGCUGAGGCGUGAUGACGAGGCACUACGGUGCUGAAGUGACAAAUGCCCUGCUUCCAGGAAAAGCCUCUAAGCAUCAGGUAACAUUAAAUCGUACCCCAAACCGACACAGGUGGUCAGGUAGAGAAUACCAAGGCGCUUGAGAGAACUCGGGUGAAGGAACUAGGCAAAAUGGUGCCGUAACUUCGGGAGAAGGCACGCUGAUAUGUAGGUGAAGCGACUUGCUCGUGGAGCUGAAAUCAGUCGAAGAUACCAGCUGGCUGCAACUGUUUAUUAAAAACACAGCACUGUGCAAACACGAAAGUGGACGUAUACGGUGUGACGCCUGCCCGGUGCCGGAAGGUUAAUUGAUGGGGUUAGCGGUAACGCGAAGCUCUUGAUCGAAGCCCCGGUAAACGGCGGCCGUAACUAUAACGGUCCUAAGGUAGCGAAAUUCCUUGUCGGGUAAGUUCCGACCUGCACGAAUGGCGUAAUGAUGGCCAGGCUGUCUCCACCCGAGACUCAGUGAAAUUGAACUCGCUGUGAAGAUGCAGUGUACCCGCGGCAAGACGGAAAGACCCCGUGAACCUUUACUAUAGCUUGACACUGAACAUUGAGCCUUGAUGUGUAGGAUAGGUGGGAGGCUUUGAAGUGUGGACGCCAGUCUGCAUGGAGCCGACCUUGAAAUACCACCCUUUAAUGUUUGAUGUUCUAACGUUGGCCCGUAAUC